rnacentral:rRNA from 1 species
UACGUAGGGUGCGAGCGUUGUCCGGAAUUAUUGGGCGUAAAGAGCUCGUAGGCGGUCUGUCGCGUCGAUCGUGAAAACUUGGGGCUUAACCCUGAGCUUGCGGUCGAUACGGGCAUGACUGGAGUUCGGCAGGGGAGACUGGAAUUCCUGGUGUAGCGGUGAAAUGCGCAGAUAUUCAGGAGGAACACCGGUGGCGAAGGCGGGUCUCUGGGCCGAUACUGACGCUGAGGAGCGAAAGCAUGGGUAGCGAACAGG